UACGAAGGGGGCUAGCGUUGUUCGGAUUUACUGGGCGUAAAGCGCGUGUAGGCGGGCUUGUAAGUUGGGGGUGAAAGCCCGGAGCUCAACUCCGGAAUUGCCUUCAAGACUGCAAGCCUGGACCCAUGGAGAGGCAAGUGGAAUUGCGAGUGUAGAGGUGAAAUUCGUAGAUAUUCGCAGGAACACCAGUGGCGAAGGCGACUUGCUGGACAUGUGGUGACGUUGAGACGAGAAAGCGUGGGGAGCAAACAGG
rnacentral:rRNA from 1 species